UGAGUUUUCCAAUGGGUUUAUAGAUAACUCUCANCAAUGGAUCUCUAGGCUCUUGCAUCGAUGAAGAACGCAGUGAACUGCGAUAACUGGUGUGAAUUGCAUGGCACUUCUAAUCUUACACCAAGCGAAUCAUCGAGUCUUUGAACGCAAACGGCACC
rnacentral:rRNA from 1 species